UCCUGGUGGCUCAGAUGGUAAAGCAUCUGCCUACAAUGCAGGAGACCCAGGUUCAAUCCCUGGGUUGGGAA
rnacentral:tRNA from 1 species